CUUUUCUAGUUAGAAAAAGCUAAACAUUGUGCGACUUACGCCCAAAACCCCCUUCUAAGGGGAUUCUCACCUUAACUUGUCUUCCGUGGUCAGUGUUUCCCGCCCCUGAAUCUGGGUUACUGUCACUAUGGCUUUCAAUUGGCCCGGCUUAGGCGCAUGCUCUGCGCGUAUUGGCCUCCGCUCCUGUCCCCAGACAAGCGGCCAUCUUGGGUCCCGCCCCUACCGUGGGGUCUUCUGGGAAUUGCAGUCCCCGCUCCGCUCUGUCCUGUCACAGGACUUUUUGCCCUCUGUUCCUGGGUCCCUCAGGCGGCCACCCAGUGGGCACACUCCCAGGCGGCGCUCCGGCCCCGCGCUCCCUCCCUCUGCCUUUCAUUCCCAGCUGCCAACAUCCUGGAAGCUUUGAAGCUCAGCAAAGAAGAGAAAUCCAUUGAGAACGGUCUGUAAAGAUACUGUCACUUCAGUUACCCUGAUGGCUACUUUAAAAAAAAUUCCUGGGUUCUAUCUUCAGAGAUUCAAAAUCAGUGGGGCUGAGAUGGAGAACCAAGUAUCUGUAUUGUAAAAAGCUCUACAGGUGAUUCCAUUGAUCAGCAGGUUUGAGAACUUCUGUUCCAUAUCCUAUCAUUACUGUAAUUACCAUCAUCACAAUCAUGAUCAUCAACAUCAUUAUCAUCUUCAUCAUCAUCGCCACCACUACCAUCAGCAGUAACAAAUGCUGUCUUGCUCAGUGCUCUCAGUAACUGACUAGAAAUCCUGGUGUUUGUUAAAGCAGCUACAUUUGACUUCAUAGGUGAGAUCAUCACACUAGUGAGUGAUUCAGUAAUAAUUCAUCUGGCCAUUUUUUAAGUUUGGCAAAUGCUUUGGGAGAAAUUGUGCCCCAUAGAAGUAGACAAGCUUAUUUUUUCCAGCUCAGCCUGUUGUUGUUUUAUCUGGUACAAAAGCAAUGAGAACUUUGUCCCUGUACUUAACUCUGACCUUUAAGGGGUUUUUUUUUUUUUUUUUUUUCUUUUUUCCCUGAGAGUUCCUAAAAUGACAUCUGGGGAAAUAUAAAGUCCUAGUGAAAGAGAAACUUUGAAGUCUUUGUUCUGUUUGAUUUCCACUUCCCCACUAUCACACCCCCUACUAACCACCCCCCUCACCCUUUGCUUAUGGCAUUUCUUGUUUAUCACGCAUGAGAGAAGCAAUAAAAUUUGGCCUGGGGUUUUCUCAUUCCUAGGUGUGAAAUUGUUUCAGAACUAUAAUAAUAAUACUUUGCAUUUGUAUAGUGCUUUUAUUUGAAGAUCUAAAAGUGUUCCUUUGGUGUUAAUAGAGCUUCCCAUCACCCUCUGAAGUAGGUAAGUAUUAUUAGAGGAUAUUUCCUUCAAGAACAUUUUCACUUUACAUCCCACGUGUGAUUUGAAAAUGCUUGUGUAUUAUUUGGGAAUCUCAACUCUUUAAAGUGCCAUACAUAUAAGGCAAUUCUUUUAUUUAUAUUCAAUCUUCGUUAAUGCCCAGAACGUUGAGGGAAAUACAGCAAUUCUUCAUAAAUGAGGGUGGCAUUAUUUAGAAAGUAUUAAAAGCAGUUUGGUAUUGCCUUUUAUUGGAAUGUUUUGAAAAUAUUUAAUAAUGCUUAUUAGCUACAGAACUAUCUGUUGUACAGUUAGUUUUCCUUUUUUUAAUGUGGCAGGAUUUGCAGGAAGGAAAAUAUUAAAUAAUUAGUGGUGUUAGAACCCAAUCCUCCAAAGUAUGGUACCUUAGCAUGCUGAGUACUUUAAACUGAAGGAAAUACAUUGGAAAGCCCUCAGAACCAAGGUCUUUCUGGCAAUCUGCCAUCAUCCUGCCUCCUACUUCUCUUCCACCCCUUAAGCAAGUCAUAUAAACCAGAAUUCCUCUUCCCUAAGGUGGGUCAUAGAAACUAGAACGUCUCUUCCCCACAGCAAGCCAUGAAACCUAGAAAAGUCAUUCUCUUCCUUCUCUCUUGAAGAUCCUCAUUCCAUAGGGGCCCUGCUCCAUACUUGGAAGAAGGAAUGUUGCACAGAGAAGUCAAGAAGAAUCUGAACAGUCAGGACUUGCUGGUCCCCACCACCACCCGCACCACCGCCAAUCUAUUUUCUGUUUCCAGUAGAACACACCCCUUUUGUUCUACCACAUGGCUGUGCAUUAUUCACUGAACCUAAGCAUAAAAACCAUUUUCCUUGAGUCUUUGGGUCUUCAUUUCUGAAGGCUGCUGUGCCACAUAAAACUUUGAUUAAAUACAUUUGUUAUGCUUUUCUCUUGCUGACCUGUCUUUUGUUAUAGGAGUGUUGACUGUGACUCUUAUGAGAGGUGAGGAUAGGUAUCACACCUUUCCA
rnacentral:lncRNA from 1 species